CGGCGAGUGAAGCGGUAACAGCUCAAAUUUGAAAUCUGGGUCUUUUAGGCUCCGAGUUGUAAUUUGUAGAAGAUGCUUUGGGUGCGGCCCCGGUCUAAGUUCCUUGGAACAGGACGUCAUAGAGGGUGAGAAUCCCGUAUGUGAUCGGUGGCUUGCGCCCGUGUAAAGCUCUUUCGACGAGUCGGGUUGUUUGGGAAUGCAGCUCUAAAUGGGUGGUAAAUUUCAUCUAAAGCUAAAUAUUGGCCAGAGACCGAUAGCGCACAAGUAGAGUGAUCGAAAGAUGAAAAGCACUUUGGAAAGAGAGUUAAACAGUACGUGAAAUUGUUGAAAGGGAAGCGCUUGCAACCAGACUUGCGCGGGGUUGAUCAUCCGGGGUUCUCCCCGGUGCACUCGGCCUCGCUCAGGCCAGCAUCGGUUUUGGUGGUUGGAUAAAGGCCUUGGGAAUGUGACUUCUUUCGGGGAGUGUUAUAGCCCUCGGUGCAAUGCAGCCUACCGGGACCGAGGACCGCGCUUCGGCUAGGAUGCUGGCGUAAUGGUUGUAAGCGACCCGUCUUGAAACACGGACCAAGGAGUCUAACAUCUAUGCGAGUGUUUGGGUGUCAAACCCAUACGCGUAAUGAAAGUGAACGGAGGUGAGAACCCUUAAGGGUGCAUCAUCGACCGAUCCUGAUGUCUUCGGAUGGAUUUGAGUAAGAGCAUAGCUGUUGGGACCCGAAAGAUGGUGAACUAUGCCUGAAUAGGGUGAAGCCAGAGGAAACUCUGGUGGAGGCUCGCAGCGGUUCUGACGUGCAAAUCGAUCGUCAAAU
rnacentral:rRNA from 1 species